rnacentral:rRNA from 1 species
GACGUAGGGGGCCAGCGUUGUUCGGAAUUACUGGGUGUAAAGGGUUCGUAGGCGGUGUGGCAAGUCGGGAGUGAAAUCUCUGGGCUCAACCCAGAGGCUGCUUCCGAAACUGCUGUGCUUGAGUGUGGGAGAGGCGCGUGGAAUUGCAGGUGUAGCGGUGAAAUGCGUAGAUAUCUGCAGGAACACCCGUGGCGAAAGCGGCGCGCUGGACCACUACUGACGCUGAAGAACGAAAGCUAGGGGGAGCAAAACAGG